UUUUAGUUGUUGGUUCUGUGAGUCUGAGA
rnacentral:piRNA from 1 species